UUCUCUAUGUAAUAGCCCUGACUGUACUGGAACUCACUUUGUAGACAAGGCUGAUUUCGAACUCACAGAGUUCUACCUCUGAAGUAUUAGAAUUAAGGGCAUGCACCACCAUGCCUGACUGCUUUGUCCUGUUUUUUGAGACAAGGUCUUGCUAUGUAACCCAGGUUGAACUUGAAUUCUCUGUUUGGUCUUGUACUCCUAGUGACCCUCUUACCUCAGCCUCUGGAGUAGUCAGAUUACAGGAACGAGGCAUCAUAACCAGCCACAAAAUGAAAUGGUUUGUUUUUAAAAUAAUUUUUAUCAUGAGGGGUUGGUUGAAUCCAUGGAUGUGGAACCUAGAGAUAUAAAUCACCAACAUGAAGAUGAAGGAGGAGGAGGAGGAGGAAGAGGAGGAAGAGGAAGAGGAGGAGGAGGAAGAAGAAGAGGAGGAGGAAGGAAAGGAGGAAGAAGCAAGGGAGGGGAGUGGGGAAUGAUGUGGCAAAAAUGGUGGGAAAGUUUAUGUUAGGUGGUCAGGGAAGUCCAUGGGGGAGUUAGUCAUGUGGUUUUCGGAGGAAGAACAUUUCCCAACCAGAGCAAAGAGUGAGCACAAAGCUUCUGUUUGGGGGCUGGGCCUGGCUUCAGACAGGGUUAGAGACUCAAGGGCACACAGCCAAAGCAGCAGACACUUGUCCAGCUCUAUGCUAGUGCUCAACAGGGCACAGCUUUUACUUACUUGUAGCAUUUAAAAUCAUAUCAGGGUUCUGGUAGGCUCUGUGGCCACUUUUAAUUUCUUUUCUCCCUUCUUUCCUGAGUGACAACAAGCAAGGCUAAGCCUCAAGUCCCUAACCACUAGGGCUCUGUGCCUCCAAUCCCAGAGCAGACAAAGUCAACAGGAAUAUGUAAUGCGUGUGCAGGUACAGUCGGGGAGACGGUGAGUACUGAAUAAGCACUGUUAAAGAAUGCUCACAGUAUCUUGUACGUCUCUUUUCCUUUAUAGUCUUACAAAUUAGAUGCCUUGGAAAUGCAGUGCCCACCGCCAAGAUGGACCUUCCUUUUGAGUGGAAGCGAACAUCUACUAAACAGCUUCAUCUCCUUUAAGACGGACGGAUCAUCAAGCCCUGAGGAGAAGCCAGCAGUCUGCUCCCACGCUCCCGUCCUUCUCCUACCUUUGGAACCCUCGUGUAAAUAAGCCACGUCUACAAAUUGUCUCAGGUAGUCUGUUAUAACGGCAGAGCUGACCAAGACAAGAUCUAAUGGACAAUAGCUGGGCCAUGCGUUUUACCCCUCAGUGGGUGUUGGGCGGCUGGAUGUGUGCAAAGCUGAGGUAGGUGGUUGGCAGUGCCUCUGUGGAUGUGUGGACACUUCCUCAGUGUUGCUUGCUUUUGUUUCCAGUGAGUGAGGAGUGAAGAGUUGGUGUGGGGAAGCCCAGAUAUUUUUGUUCGAAGCCUGUUCUGAAGAAGCCUGUUCUCCACAGGGAUGAAGGAGAACAGAAGACUGACUAAGAGGGUCUGACUGGGCCCGGGAUGUGGUCUAGGUGAUUAGAACUUGGCACUUCCUCCUAUUGUCUAGCAGCAGCAUGGCCAGCAGUGGAGGCUACAAAGACCAUCGGGAGAGCUUGGCUCCGGCCCAGACCGGGUGUGAGCUGCUGGCUGCCAUCCCCAGACUCUCCCCACCGUGGUCUGCAGUUCUCUCGCCCUGGGCCCUGGUCACUUUCUCUUCAUCCUUUUUCUGGCAGCAAGGAAGCUCCUUACUCCCAGGGCUCUCCACAGCUCAGAUCAUUGCUGUGAUUUGCAUAGACAUCUGGAAUAGAUGCUGAAGAAAGGAGACAAAGAGGGUCUGGGAGAAAACCACGUGGUAUUCAGCCAAAGUUAAGAUGCUUCUGAAUCAAGUGCACCUCAUUGGGCCAGGGGAGGUCCAGACUCGGGAUCAAGCAGGUCAUAAGAAAAGGGCAGUGUGACUCAGCUCCCAUCCUCCAGCUUUCUGUUGGGCUGGCAGACUUGGCCUGCAGCCUAGCUUCUUGUUCUGAUGUCAGUGUGGAGAGACACCCCAGGCACACGGUAUUGAGGCAAAGAGAUGGGGCUUCAUCAUCUGCUAGCUGUGGACUCUCAUGGUCCGCUCCAUUCACUCCGUGUUUCAGAAGACUCUUCCAGUAGAGAGACAGAGUUGCACACUAUCUGGUGAUAUUCGGAAAGAGUUCUGAGAUAACAAUGACCUCUCCAUCCCUUCGGGCACCCAUGGUGAGUCUCUCAAACCUCCCCACAGGCCAGCAAGGGCAUCUCAUCACAGUGAAGAUUGCCACACCUUAGACCUGUUCUGGGCUCAGAAGACACCUGAAUGAGCAAACAACUCCACCUCCGUGGCGAACACGCUGGUGCAAGGAGUAACAGCAAAGAAGAAAACGUUAGGGAGUCUGGGGCAAGAAUGCUAGGGAGACAAUAGGAAUAGAGCUGUGGGGGGAGGGGAGAGCAAGAGCAAAGCUAGGGAGUUCUUUCAGCAGGAGAGCAAGGGAGUCUUGCUAGGGAACUACAUUUAAGCAAAUGUCUGAAAAUCUGAAAGAGGUGUGGAAAAGAGCCGUGUGGAUCCAUCCAGGCAAAGGCCCUGGGUGGGAACAUGCUUACCGUGGUGGCCUAACAGCCAGGGACCACCAGAGCUGGAAGGCACGCUCAUUGGAAGAGCAGCGGUUUAGAACAGGAAGUCCCUGCCUCACAGUGGGCUCCUGGGCCUAUUUGCUUAGGCCGGGGCUCUUGACUGCAAAGGCUUUUUUUCCUAGGCAGGAACCACAGAGCAUGAGCUGAGCAUGUCGGUGUCAGACACGGUCAGAAUCACAGGAGAGCUGCCUUCCUGGAGCUGCCGCUGUGAUGGAGAGAGUAGAGGCAAGCAGGGCAUCAGCUAAGCACUAGCGGACUCCUUGGAAGCCACGUAAUUGUGUGCCCAUGGGAGUGGAGGCAAAGGGCUGUCUUAGAAUAUGUGCGCGUGAGUGUAUCUACCUCUGAGUGCAUAUAGAAUUAUUAUGAUCUGGCUCCCAUAAAGCAAACAGUGACUUCUUAGCCAGCCCUACUUGUAAGCUUGGGUAUCCUCAUCCCACCUUGUACAUCUAUGUCUUUAUGUUCAUCAGGGGGGCAUCAUCUGCAUCCAGACGUCUAAACCGAGUGUAUGCCACUGCAAAUAUACACCAUGAUCACACAGUUUUCAGGGUUCUAUCCGGGUAGUGUGAUUCUCUGUGUUAUAAUGUAGGCCUGCCACUGACCUGAGAUGAUCCUGGGCAAAUUCAGCCCCCUUUAUUCUCAUGGACCAUAUCAGUAAAAUGGAAAUAAUAAUAAUAAUAAUAACAACAAAAAUAAUAAUAAUAAAAGUCUACCUUAUCAAGUUGUUACGUGAAGCACUUAAUCAGAUGAUUAUGUAUGACCCCCAAAAUUCCAAUUCUGGAAUCAUAUCAAUUAGUAUAAGUGAAAUAAAUCCUGAGGGCAACAUGUGAGCUGUUGUUACAUGGUAUUGUCUAUGUGUGUGACUGCCUGGGUAUCUGUCGACCUGACUAUUCCAUUACUUUAGGAGUAAGUGCUUUUAUUCAGGCAAACCCUGUGUCUAUCGUCUGUGGCCUGUCUCUGGUGAUAAAAUCAACUGUGGCUGGCAUGGAGACAAGGGGAGGGGUUGCAGGAGAACUCAUGCCACAGCUUGGCCAGCUAGACUCUGAGCUGAUCAGCCAAGCAGCUAAACAGGCAGGCAGGCAAAGGGAGGCACAGCCUGGGGUCUGAGCCAUCUCUAGCUUCGGCCAUAGGAAUUCUUUCCGCAUUCCUCUUACAUCUCAGCUGAAAGGGGGUAUCCCAGAGAAGUGUUGGGUCUGUGCCACUGCUGUGUCACAGCUGCCUUUUUUGUGACAGCUGCCACUUACCCAGUGAGCUGUUGUAUAUUGACUCUCCCCCUAGUCUUUGUGUGCACUUACUGAGAUGGAUUCUUUCAUUGCCCUCCCUUUAGGAACGAGCAAAGACACAAAGAGGCAAGUUGCUUAUGUAAGUCACAGAACUGGUAAGUGGAAAGACCAGAACUCAACCGUAUCAUAUGCUAAGUGAGUAGGCCCAAUGAAUGGGAGAGUUAAAUGAGAUUAGAGGUGGUGUAAGCAGAACAAGAAGGAGAACAAGAACACCAUGGGGACUGUUGUGGCAUCCUCCUGGCAAAGGCCGGGACCAGCUUGGAACCCUGCUGGAGAGACUCUAGGGAGAGGAAGGGAGUGGCAGAUGGAGCCAGGUGGCAAGGGCUGGAAGGCAAUGGAGGUGCUUGAAUUUGAGCCACAGGGAGGUGCCAGGGGGAUGAGCCACCUGGAUCCUUUGGUGUGGAUAAAUUGGUGAGCCGAGUACAGGUCUGUAGGACAGCAAAUGGCUGGAAAGAGCCCAGCAGCCCAGGAGAGCCAAUUGUAGCAAAGGCUUUGCAGUCAGUCUGCCAGAGGGAUGGGACACUUCUGGCCAGACAAGUAUCCUAUAGUUACUGAGCCUCAAUUUUCUCAUCUAAAUCCCUGGUUGAAAAGCUUAAAAUUAUUGUUUCAGUGCUUGACUCAUGACAUUCAAUAAAGAGCCAUGUAUUAUUAAACCAGAAGUUCAAACUACUGGUUUACAUUAGAUUAUGUCUGUAUGCACAAGGUAUACAUACAUAUGCAAUAAAAAUCAUUACAGAGUGAUUCAAGGACCUAAUAGAAAAUAUGGAUGGCAUGCACAAACAGAUGGGAAGUUUCAGAAGAGGAACAGCUGGCCAGCCAGGCUAAUCCCAUGUUAAUGAGUCAUGAUGCUAGUGAGAAGGAAUUCUGUAGAUGUAAUUAGAGUCAGAUUGGACAUAGGAGAACAAAAGGUAACAAUGCCUUGGUGAUGGUUUCAUAGGAAACCUCUAAACCCAGAAGAGAAACAGACAGCCCCUGCUGCAGCCCCAGCCUCCUAGGUGUUAAGAAGGUUGAUGCAUAGCCCCAGGUACACAGUUCUAAGUGGUAUAGUGCCUACAUCGCUGAGCAAACAUGUUGCCAUUUCCACCUCUGACAAACUUCUUUCAGCAUCAAGACUUCAACAGUGAUCAGGAUAGAAACUCUGUCUCUAGGAAACUGGGCUGCUGCCUAUUUGCUCUGAGAUGCCCCCAAUCUGGCCCUCAGGAGCUCUCAGGCUAAGGGGAGAGCUUGACUGGUAGUAAAAUGCUCUGAUGCAUGAUGGUUUAGCCAGUGAAGAACAAUCGCAGAAGCGGGUGGGGGAAGAGAGGUUAAGCCACAUUUUUAAGUAAGGUGGUUGAGCAAGGUCUGAAUAAUAACAAUCUAUAGUGGCUAAUGUGCACAGGGAAAGUGGAGAGGACAUUGGCAGAAGGAGAAGCCUCUCACUCCAGAGUCCCUUGUGACACCUCUCACUGCUGAGAACCAAGAAUCCCAGUGCUAACUACAGUUGCUGUGAAGGUCACAGAGGGCGCACCCCCACAACCUUCCAGAUGCGUCUUGGUGACCUUGUUGGAGGACCGUUGUCACCUGUGAUCUCCCAGAUCCGGGUCCUGCAGUCUUUGAGCCCCCUACACCUUGGCCAUCCCAGCUCCACAAUGGUAAGAUUUGAGUUGGUUUUUACUCAAAAUCAGCAAAGGACACAGAAUAUUCAUCAGAGUUCAUCAGAAACUAGUCCUUGCAGCAACAAUCAGCCUUGUGCCCCUGUGGAGAGGACGGAGGCCAGGCUCUCCAGAACCCCCUACUCAUACCUGUUCCUCCCUUGUCCCCCUCCAUAGCCGUGGCCAGCCUGGACUCCCCUCCCACAUAGCCUCCCAAAAGCAGGAGAGAAGACUCCCUAAACAAUGUGAAGACUUUUACAUCUACAUCUUCACUGCUUAAGCUCCACCACAACUCCCAGGCCCCAGCCCAGGACCUAGAACCCUUAUAAUGAGUGACCUUUAGAUCCUGUCUGGUCUGUCCCUAUUUUGCAUGGCCUUUCCCCCUCCCCCUCCACACACAUCCCCCACCAGACAGAAGCAGUUAUACUCAAAGCACACGCCAGAGAAAUUUACACACCUGUU